UACGGAGGGUGCAAGCGUUGUCCGGAUUUAUUGGGUUUAAAGGGUGCGUAGGCGGCUCUUUAAGUCAGUGGUGAAAUCCUUCAGCUUAACUGUAGAAUUGCCAUUGAUACUGAAGAGCUUGAGUACAGACGAGGUAGGCGGAAUUUAUGGUGUAGCGGUGAAAUGCAUAGAUACCAUAAAGAACACCUAUUGCGAAGGCAGCUUACUAGGCUGUAACUGACGCUGAGGCACGAAAGCGUGGGGAUCAAACAGG
rnacentral:rRNA from 1 species